UACGUAGGGUGCAGGCGUUAAUCGGAAUUACUGGGCGUAAAGCGUGCGCAGGCGGUUUGCUAAGACAGGUGUGAAAUCCCCGGGCUUAACCUGGGAACUGCGCUUGUUACUGGCAGGCUUGAGUGUGGCAGAGGGGGGUGGAAUUCCACGUGUAGCAGUGAAAUGCGUAGAGAUCGGCAGGAACACCCAGGGAGAAAUCAGCCGCCUGGGCAAGUGCUGACGCUGAGGUGCGAAAGCGUGGGGAGCGAACCGG
rnacentral:rRNA from 1 species